UCGCAAAUUACCCACUCUCAGUACGAGGAGGUAGUGACGAGAAAUGACAAGAUCUAUUCCUUCGGGGAUGGAUCAUUGGAAUGGUUUGAUUUUAAAAUCAUUAAAGAGUAUCAAUGAGAGGGCAAGUCUGGUGCCAGCAGCCGCGGUAAUUCCAGCUCUCAUACUGCAUUGAAUUGUUGUUGCGGUUAAAAAGCUCGUAGUUGGAUCUGUACAUGAUAGGUUAGUUCAUCCUUUGGAUUGCAACUAAUACUAAAUGUUUUUUAUUAGAUUUUUAUAUUUCUUUACGGAAAUAUAAUGUCUAAUGAGUUUACUUUGAAUAAAUCAGAGUGCUCAAAACAGGCGUAAGCUUGUAUGGUUUUGCAUGGAAUAAUAGAACAUGACUAUGGUUCAUGUUUUAUUGGUUUUACUUACCAUAGUAAUGAUUAAAAGGAACAAACGGGGGCAUCCGUAUCGCAGGGCGAGAGGUGAAAUUCGUGGACCCUUGCGAGACGAACUACAGCGAAGGCAUUUGCCAAGAAUGUUUUCAUUAAUCAAGAACGAAAGUCAGAGGAUCGAAGGCGAUCAGAUACCGCCCUAGUACUGACCGUAAACUAUGCCAUCUAGCGAGUUUCGGGUGGAUAUUUUAUAUUUGCCCUUGAAACGAGCUUCCCGGAAACGAAAGUCUUUCGGUUCCGGGGGAAGUAUGGUUGCAAAGUUGAAACCUAAAGGAAUUGACGGAAGGUCACCACCAGAAGUGGAGCCUGCGGCUUAAUUUGACUA
rnacentral:rRNA from 1 species